GCGGCAGGCCUAACACAUGCAAGUCGAACGGUAACAGGAAGCAGCUUGCUGCUUUGCUGACGAGUGGCGGACGGGUGAGUAAUGUCUGGGAAACUGCCUGAUGGAGGGGGAUAACUACUGGAAACGGUAGCUAAUACCGCAUAACGUCGCAAGACCAAAGAGGGGGACCUUCGGGCCUCUUGCCAUCGGAUGUGCCCAGAUGGGAUUAGCUAGUAGGUGGGGUAACGGCUCACCUAGGCGACGAUCCCUAGCUGGUCUGAGAGGAUGACCAGCCACACUGGAACUGAGACACGGUCCAGACUCCUACGGGAGGCAGCAGUGGGGAAUAUUGCACAAUGGGCGCAAGCCUGAUGCAGCCAUGCCGCGUGUAUGAAGAAGGCCUUCGGGUUGUAAAGUACUUUCAGCGGGGAGGAAGGGAGUAAAGUUAAUACCUUUGCUCAUUGACGUUACCCGCACAAGAAGCACCGGCUAACUCCGUGCCAGCAGCCGCGGUAAUACGGAGGGUGCAAGCGUUAAUCGGAAUUACUGGGCGUAAAGCGCACGCAGGCGGUUUGUUAAGUCAGAUGUGAAAUCCCCGGGCUCAACCUGGGAACUGCAUCUGAUACUGGCAAGCUUGAGUCUCGUAGAGGGGGGUAGAAUUCCAGGUGUAACGGUGAAAUGCGUAAAGAUCUGGAGGAAUACCGGUGGCGAAGGCGGCCCCCUGGACGAAGACUGACGCUCAGGUGCGAAAGCG
rnacentral:rRNA from 1 species